GCAUACAUACUGACACACACAUACUGAGACAUACACACAUAUACAGACACACAGGUGUACAUAGUGAUAGACACAUACUAACAUACAUACAGACACACAUACUGAUACGCAUAUAGGCAUACAUACUGACACACACAUACUGAGACAUACACACAUAUACAGACACACAGGCGUACAUAGUGACAGACACAUACUAACAUACAUACAGACACA